rfam:Enteractinococcus sp. TASWS1574 117, whole genome shotgun sequence.
GCGGAUGUAGCUCAGCUGGCUAGAGCACCACCUUGCCAAGGUGGGGGUCGCGGGUUCGAAUCCCGUCAUCCGCU